rnacentral:rRNA from 1 species
CAAGGAAUAUUGUGCAAUGGGCGAAAGCCUGACACAGCGACGCCGCGUGGGGGAUGACGGCUUUCGGGUUGUAAACCCCUUUUCCAGGGGAGGAAUAAUGACAGUACCCUGGGAAUAAGUCACGGCUAACUACGUGCCAGCAGCCGCGGUAAUACGUAGGCGGCGAGCGUUAUCCGGAUUUACUGGGCGUAAAGAGGGCGCAGGCGGCUUGGCAAGUCGGAUGUUAAAUCUCCCGGCUCAACUGGGAGUCAUCAUUCGAUACUGUUAGGCUAGAGGGCAGCAGAGGGUGAUGGAAUUCCCGGUGUAGUGGUGAAAUGCGUAGAUAUCGGGAGGAACACCAGUGGCGAAGGCGGUCACCUGGGCUGUUACUGACGCUUAAGCCCGAAGGCGUGGGGAGCAAACAGG